UGCUUGGAAAGUUGGGCUAAAUCCCUUUAUCCCAGGUCUCCAGUCUGGGCCCUCUGGGAACCCUGCUGCUGUGGUACUGAUGGGAGUAUUAUACUUCAGUCCAAAGAUGGCUUCUCAUGGUGCCUAGGAAGGCUGAGCACUAGCAAACAAAGCAGUCACCAACCCAGAGAAGGCAAUGCUGUCUGCAAAUGAUGCUCGAUAAAUUCUCUCCAACUCCAGGGACAAGGCUGAACUCACAGGAAAAAGCUACUGGCAAGCCGAUGUCAUGAAGGUCUUAAACUCUUCUGGAGGGAGAUGUGGAUUUCCUAACAACUUUAUACAGCAUUACCAAUAUAGAUGCUAUCCAGAAGUUUGUACUCCUGGACAAUUGGAACCCUGGACAGCCAGCACUGGAUGAUGGUGACACAGAAUGACUAAGAAGUCAGCCAUCUGUCCUAACAGAGGUCGCAGUGUGCUGUGGGUGGCAGAGCAUGGUGGAGUAAACAAACAAGUAACAUGUGAUAAAGAUGAUAAAAGUAAUAAGCACAGAGCUGGGCAGAGGGCAGCUGAACUAGGAACCAUGAGCGCCCACCCAGCAAGGAUGGACAGGGAAGGCCUCUCGGAGGAAGUGAGACACCUGAAAUAAGGUCAAAGGGAAGGAAGACACCAACCAUUCAAAAAAUAAAUAAAAAAAAAAUUUCAGAUCAA